UGCUUUGAUGAUAUUCAAUGUUUCAUGCAGUAUACCAUUGAUCAAAUUGUGUUCUAAAAUAUUCAAUUUAAGUGAAUAAAUGAUGCAGAAUUUUUAGAAAAAAAAAGGAAGCUGUUACUGGUAUACCAACUUGAUUGAUUGUCGUUGAUUGUCGGGAAAACGUUUGCAACAAGUAACCUGGCGGCAUAAUGAAGGACGACAUCCGAAAACCGAAUUCUGACAUUUCGUUUGAAACUUCAAUGACAACCGGGAACUUCUUGGACGAACCAGGCCAGGUGGCCAGGUGUUGGUGUUAUUUCAAAAAAGUUUAUAGACCUUGUUAAAGCAUUUCUUUAUUCAUCUUUAUUUCUUUACCUAUUUUAUUGUCAUAUUGGGAAUACACAUAUAUAAUACAUA